UUUUGAGCAACAUGUAUUGACAAUGAGCUAUCAUAUCUGUGUCUUGAUGAUAGCCAGUUUGAAGCAUACAUAUGAUAGUGGUAAUAUAGGUACAUCGUUAAACAAAUUGUCAUUAAACAGAGUAUCCUGGCAUUGCUGUCGUGCCCAUAUUUAUGUAGUUCUCCUUCUUAACCAUUAGUCGUGAUGGUAGGAGUUUUCUCUUCGCUUUGCCAGUGUCGGUAAUUGCUCAGUUGUAAAAAUAACCCG